rnacentral:rRNA from 1 species
UACUCCUACGGGAGGCAGCAGUGAGGAAUUUUGCGCAAUGGGGGGAACCCUGACGCAGCAACGCCGCGUGAGUGAAGAAGGCCUUCGGGUCGUAAAGCUCUGUCGAGUGGGAAGAACCUUCGUAUGUUGAAUAUACAUACGGACUGACGGUACCACAGAAGGAAGCACCGGCUAACUCCGUGCCAGCAGCCGCGGUAAUA